AUUGAACGCUGGCGGCAUGCUUUACACAUGCAAGUCGAACGGCAGCACGGGCUUCGGCCUGGUGGCGAGUGGCGAACGGGUGAGUAAUAUAUCGGAACGUACCCAGAAGUGGGGGAUAACGUAGCGAAAGUUACGCUAAUACCGCAUACGAUCUAUGGAUGAAAGCAGGGGACCGCAAGGCCUUGUGCUCCUGGAGCGGCCGAUAUCUGAUUAGCUAGUUGGUGAGGUAAAGGCUCACCAAGGCGACGAUCAGUAGCUGGUCUGAGAGGACGACCAGCCACACUGGAACUGAGACACGGUCCAGACUCCUACGGGAGGCAGCAGUGGGGAAUUUUAGACAAUGGGCGCAAGCCUGAUCCAGCAAUGCCGCGUGAGUGAAGAAGGCCUUCGGGUUGUAAAGCUCUUUUGUCAGGGAAGAAACGGUAGAGGCUAAUAUCCUUUGCUAAUGACGGUACCUGAAGAAUAAGCACCGGCUAACUACGUG
rnacentral:rRNA from 1 species